rnacentral:tRNA from 1 species
GGUGAGGUGACCGAGUGGUCUAAGGUAGCUUCUUGCUAAGAAGCCGUCCGGGUAAAACUGGACCGUGGGUUCGAAUCCCACCCUCACCG